CGCCCGUCGCUCCUACCGAUUGGGUGUGCUGGUGAAGUGUUCGGAUCGGCGGCAGCGGGCGGUUCCCGCUGGCUGCCGCUGAAAAGUUCAUUAAACCCUCCCACCUAGAGGAAGGAGAAGUCGUAACAAGGUUUCC
rnacentral:rRNA from 1 species